rnacentral:rRNA from 1 species
UACGGGGGGAGCAAGCGUUGUUCGGAUUUACUGGGCGUAAAGGGCGCGUAGGCGGUCAGCACAAGUCAGUUGUGAAAUCUCCGGGCUUAACUCGGAAAGGUCAACUGAUACUGUGCGACUAGAGUGCGGAAGGGGCAACUGGAAUUCUCGGUGUAGCGGUGAAAUGCGUAGAUAUCGAGAGGAACACCUGCGGCGAAGGCGGGUUGCUGGGCUGACACUGACGCUGAAGUGCGAAAGCUAGGGGAGCGAACAGG